GCUAAAGCUCUAAGACAGGAAAGAGCUUGUGACAGCUAUAUGAGCCCAGUCCUGCCGGAACAGCUUUUCAAGAUUUCACUAAUCCUUGAGACACCCCAUGAGGAACACGUUGUCCCCAGCUUCCUUUACAGAUGAGGGAACUUCCAAAGGCACAAGAAGUCAGCUCACAGUGAACACCACUGGCUUACCAAGCAGGACCAGCACCCAGCAGGAAGAGUGCAUGAGGGUAAUGGAAAGCGUCAUGAUAAGAGGCACCCAGGGAAGUGGAGGGGAUGGUGACAAAGAGGCCCCAGCUGACCCACAGAUGCAUGACAGGUCCUGCCAGCUGUCCCAAGUCCUCCGUCUGAGCCUGUUUUCACAUCUAUCCAAUCUCUACCUCUCCUGAUUCUUAUCAAAAUUAAAUGAAACAAAGAUGUCGAGUUCUGCCUACAUACUUGCUGAGUGGCUUAAUGACCUUUACAGAGAAGAAAACUGAGGCCAGAGGUCCCACAGCAAGUCAGUGGCUGCUGAUGCCCAGUUAAGGUCCUCUGUCCAGAACCACCACUCGGGGAACUUAUAAGUGGUUCCAGUAAUACAGGUGGGAAGAUGAGUGUGGGGAAUUCAAGGCAGGCCUCCUGGAGGGGGCUCACAAGAGGCGGCUCACAAGAGGCCAGAACUGGCUGAGCCAGGGGGAUCUGGGUGUGCUGGAGGCAAAGGCUAGGGAAGCAGGAGGGACCGACUCACCCUGAGCGGCCAUGUCCACCAGUUGAGGCAGCCGCAG
rnacentral:lncRNA from 1 species